GAUGAACGCUGGCGGCGUGCCUAAUACAUGCAAGUCGAGCGAACAGACGAGGAGCUUGCUCCUCUGACGUUAGCGGCGGACGGGUGAGUAACACGUGGAUAACCUACCUAUAAGACUGGGAUAACUUCGGGAAACCGGAGCUAAUACCGGAUAAUAUAUUGAACCGCAUGGUUCAAUAGUGAAAGACGGUUUUGCUGUCACUUAUAGAUGGAUCCGCGCCGCAUUAGCUAGUUGGUAAGGUAACGGCUUACCAAGGCAACGAUGCGUAGCCGACCUGAGAGGGUGGUCGCACACACUGAAAAGGAGACCGGGUCAGGACCCCAGCGGGAGAGGGAAGGAGGAACUCUCCCGAAAGGGGGAAAGCCCUGAGGAAGCAGCCCCGAGUGAGGGAGGAGGGUCUUGGUAUCUAAAAACUUUUUUAUGGGGAAAAAAAAAAGGGGAAAUAAAAUCUGCCCGUCUGGAGGGUCCUAAACAAAAAGCCCAGGCAAAAUCACGUC
rnacentral:rRNA from 1 species